GGGGCUGGGGGAGUAGCUGGGGCGCACCUGCCAGAGGAUUCAGCCCCGGGUGUGAGAAAGAGUUGGGGAGGAACUAGGGCAGUGAGCGGGAAGGAGCAGGACGGAGCCGGCGGCAAUGUUGCGGAGGAGGUGCUCUGCCAAGAGCAGGCAUCAAGUCGGCGCCGCAGCGGUGUGAACAACGUGGCUGCCCCAGGGACCUCAGCGACCUCAGGUGAGAAGAGAAAUUCUUCUGUGUUUCCUGCUGCGCCUCUAACCUGACCUGCGCCAGAUGAAGCCAACUGCCCUGUCGGUGCUGUUUCCUAUCCUCUACCUCCCAGUCAGGGGCUCCACACACUCAGUGUUGUGGCGCUUUGCUCCUUGGGUUCCCUUACCCUCACGCUCCUUCUGUAGUUGGUUGGUGACCGAGUCCUGUGUCCCUGCCUCCCACAUGCCUGAUCAGAAUAAAUUCUCCUCUUGCUGUC